rnacentral:lncRNA from 1 species
ACACUUCCUAAGUGUACAUGCAACCCUAAAUACCUUGGAUCUAUGUUUUCUCUAUUAUACAUGCAAAUAAGAACAUCCAAGGUAUUAUCCUAAUCUAGCAUACAAAAACUAUGAAUGUAACAAGAUAGAAUACAUACCUUUUGAUGUAGCUUGAUGUCUUCAAGCUUUAAGAGCUUAGCCCCAAUAGUGUGGAAGCCUCAAGUGGAAUCACAAAUCACCAAGACACCUUGGAAUACUUUAGAGAAUAUGAUUACUUGGUUCUCUCUAGUGAAAUUGGCUAGCCCUUCUUUAGUGUAUCCACACUAGUGCCAAUUUCACCAACCAAAGACAUCUUUAUAUAGUAUGGAGGAUUAGGGUUAAACCCUAAUACCCAUGACCUUUCAUUUCCUAGGAUCCAUGGGUUAAACACUCCAUGGACUAUCCAUGAAAGCUUAGCCCAACCUAAAUGAACUUGGCCCAUUCCAUAUAUAUAAGAGUCCAUAUUUAAUUAGUUCCUUUUGAUCACUUAAUUAAUUAUAAAUUAAUUCUUGAUCAAUACUAAUUAAAUAAUAUGAUUCCAUAUUAAUAUAUUAGAACUUAUAAUAUAUUAAUAUUAAUCAUAAACAUACUAUUCUCAAAAGAUUAUCCAUAUAAAUUGUGUCGGUGAAGUGCAACCCAAAUGGACCAUGCCGGGUCGGGUCAAGUACAUACCAAAUAUAGUUAUGGACUUAGACAUUAAUCCAACAGUCUCCCACUUGGAUAAGUCUAAAACUAUUAUUGCGUAUGACUUCAAACCUAACUGGCAAUCGUAGCUCUUAAAGCUGCUGUCGAACUCUGAUCUUGUCAACGAACUUGUCCAUUAGAUAAGGGAUCAUAUAUUCCUCCAUUCUAGAUAUCAUAUGGACUGAGACAUGGAUUAUAAUCAUUCUCUCUGUCCAUUUGUUGUUUCCCGAUUUCCGAUUUAUGACGACUGACUAAUUGAACAAAUCAAAUCAGUCCUGGCCCGGCCGAGCACUUCCAUUUGUCAUCAUCAAAUCAUCGAGGGGCCCACAGAUAUCGCUUUUAUCCCGAAGGUAAAAGGAAUGGAUAAACUUCGACUCAUAUGGCUUGUUCUACUACUUGUUGAAUCAUACACAAAGGCACGUUUUAUAGCACCGAGUUACCAAAUGCGUUUUCGUGCAAUCAAUGUACAACCAACUCAUAGUAACAACUCAUAUCUCUAGGUUUGAAGAAUAUAAGAUAUUAUCGUCUCAUGAUCACUCGUGAUAAAAUCCAUGAAGUGAUUCCAAUGAGCGCGGGUUGAAUCCAAUACUCAGAACUUAUGAGCACUCAUGAGUGUUGUAGCCCUUUGUCCAACACCUUAGACCUCUACAAGCCAACCCAUGACAGUCUUAAUUCAUAUCUACUUCCAACAUAUGACCGACUGUGGAUGGUUUGAAUAACUUAGUCAUUCCGGAAGAAUAACCUAGUUUAUUCGGGAAGUCAAAACAUGCAAAGUGAAACACAAUAAUAAUUGAAUCCAAUAUGGUAUCAACCCUUUGAACAUAAAUAAAACACCUUUUAUUUAUCACCAUAUGAUUACACAUUAUUCAUUGUAUACUGUUUCAGCUAUCAACUUUAUUCUUGAAUUUAAAACAAUAGUUGUCCCAUGCUCCAAGCAUGUACACUAUGUUUUCUUAAACACUAGUCAUGCCACACACCAAGUAUGCAUACUAUGUUUGUCUAUGAUCUUUACUUUGUGAACUAGAUCAAUUGAACAUAACUUCAAUGAUUCUCUUUUCACACUCCCAAAUCCUUACUGCAAAUGCAAGAAUUCCAAAUUCAUGCCAUUUACUGAAAUCUGUUAGAUUCUAAACUUAUAUGCAUUGAUCCUCUUGUAAUGAUUAUGCACAAAGUCACAAAGACUUGGCAACAAUCAUUACAGAGUAUUCCAAAGGAGAUCAACUCCUUGGAAAUAUCCUUCUUGCAUUAAGUUUCCUUAAUCUUACACAGAUUGAAAAUUCUAACUUUGAAACAUUUCCAGAUUCCAUUUUGACUAUCACUUCUGAACAAGAGUUGCCUCCUUACAGAUUAUGUCAAUAUGGUCCUUCCAGAAUUAUCACUAUACUUCCAAUUGUCCUUGAGUAACCAAUCUUUGGUAAACCUUAGAUUGUCCUCGACAAUUGUUUAAUCCUUUUAGUCAUAUCCAGUUCUAAACCUUUUCCCUUCUUAAUGCCCCAGGCAUUUGGAAAAUUUUAGAACGGAUGAAUAUAGCACAUGUAAUCGAUCCUAUAUCCGAAGCAUAUGGGACACGAUUCAUGAUGUCUUACAUAAAGACUAAACCAGUCUUUUGCUAUAAUAUUUCCAUUUCAAUUUGCCAAGUUCUCAUAAUUCAGAUUAUGAAAAGGGAUGCCGUAAUCAUAAUCGAAUUUUAGAACGCAAAUAAUGGACCCAUAUACAGAAUUUCCUUAUGUUGAGCCAUUCCAACAUGAAAUUCAUAUAUAUCCUUGACUAAAUGAUUAAAACCUCACGAUCUAAGCUUAUAGAUUUGAGAUGAAGCAUAAUUUCCUCUCCCUUAAUUAUAGCAAAACAACUUUUUCCCAAUUGAAACUUUUGUUUUCUAUAAUUAACAUUGCUAACUUGCAAUACUUAUCAUAAUUAUCAUGCUCCCACUAACAUGAUGAUUAUUAGCAUAACACUUAUGCUCCCACUAGCUUUGACAUGUACUCAGAAAUCAGCUGGACAGUCUGAAAUUUAGAUUCAUACACCCUUUCCGUAGAUAGCUCACCUGUGUGUCUAAGCAAUUUCAAGAACCAUGAAAAGGGAUACCGUAAUCAUGGUCUCAAUUGCUUAGGCAUUUGCCAUUUCUCACAAGUCCAUGUUAGUGUGCCGGUUAACCACACGCGCUCCACUAACGACUUUUGAAAAUGCAAAUAACACAAUUGAUAUCUUCGUAAAAUCUACUUAGUGAAAGCGUUUCCUCACCAUCAUUUUCAUGAAUCGGAGAGAAACCUUAUGACACUUAGAUUUAUAUGGUGUAUGAGUUCCUACCCAUAUGAAUUUGUCAAACCAUAAUCACAAGACAAAGAUAAUGACAAAUCCAAAACCAUAUGGAUUGAACUCAAUCUUAACUUCUUGCCACCUGGCAGCUCAAGGGCCUGCCAUUGCUUCCAAGUUGUUGUGCAACAAAUUGAGAACUCUAAGAACUCAUAUGCAAAACCAACUUUAACUGGAAUGGGCACAGAAUAUGUCAACACGAUAGGUUAUGAACCUCAAGUCGUGUGCUAGUGAAGAACUUUAGGUUUUAUUCUUGAUUAUUUCUUGAGACUUUCAAGACCUUUAAGACUCCCACUGUCCUCUUGACAUAUAAGACUCCCUUGUCAAACAUCCAAGAGAUAGUGCGGAUUCUAAUCAAGAAAAACACUUUACCCAAUUGGCCUAAGUUGGUCUUUGUUUUAUCCAAAACAUCACAACUUACCAAUUUCAAAUGUACAAGAGUAGAAAACUUUUACUCUUACAUUUGACAAGUGUUUUAAACCUUCUUUAAGACAUGUCACUCAAAUGACAAUCUUGGAGUAUGACUCUAAGACUUGUAUUGGAACGAAGUAUGACUCAUCUUCUUGAUUUAACCAUUUCAACAAUUCAAGUUCCUCUUCUUAGUCAUAAGAAUGCACUAAGAUUUCCUUAGAGAACUAAUUUUGAUAUGGUUUCUUAAUCAUUAAGAUGAUCACAAAACUGAUACUAAAGUACUCUCCCAUCUUUUCAGAUUUGAGAAACUUUUAUCCUUCUGCCUUAUUUGAUUCUUCUUAUCGAUCUUUAGUGGUGGACUUAAUCAGUGCACAAGAAUGUGUACUCGAUCCCUAAGUCCUUUACUUGACUCACACAUCCAUGUGAACAAGUAAUUAGUCUUAAUUUUCCAAAACUUGAAAGUUCUCAUUCAUCAUGCUAUACAACUUGCAUGAUUCCAAGUUCCGGUCCAAUUGAAACUUGGGUGAUGAGAAUCUUUCCUUAUUUGGUAAAUUUAGACAUUACCACAAAUGAAAGAAUCAAUUUCAUACUUCCACUCUUGCUACUAAUGGAAUCUUAUAAGCAACAAAAAUUUCCACAGAUGCCAUUGUAAGGAUAUUUUAAAAUAAAUAAAAUCAAAAAUUUCCUUUUAUUUUAAAACUUUGCGGAAAAACUAUCCUUACAAUCCAUAUGAAAACUUGUUGUUAUCUAUUCCUAAGCAAUAUCUCAUAACUCCUAAGAAGUAGCUCAAGAAUCCGAUUUUUCAAACUAUGCGAUAGAAAUCCAUCUAUGCGAUCAGAUUCAGCAUAUUCUUCCUUUAAGUUUCUUCACUUUCCUUUGAUUCUUAAACCAUCACCAUGCGACCCGGUCACAUCAUGUAUCAAGAAUCUCAGAAUAGAAACUUAACAGAGUUAGAUAGUGGAUUUUACCUGAAGUAGAGUCAAACUUAUUGACUUUAACAUCCUUAGGUAAAUUUGGCAGCUUCGCAACCAAUGCCCUUUCUUUGGCAAUACAAACAUAUGGACCCUUUGAUAAUGGUACACAGGACUAUCACAGACUUAGCUUUUCUCUUUACCAUUUGGUCAACCGAGUUGACUAUAGCCGAUCCCUUUCCAUUGGGAAGAGAAUGCUUUACUGGAUAUCCAAUGUCAUCAUUGUCAAUGUCCAUAAAGUUUUAGGAAGUUGAUCUUAGCAAAUAGAUAAGAUCAUUAAGGGUCUUGUCAUAGUCUGUUUCAUAGGUGUCCCAAAGGAACUCACUAUGUGACUUAGAAAGUGGUUGAACCACCAACUUUCUCAAGACUUUGACACCCAACUCUCCCGGCUUGUCAAUAUGUGACUACAUCUCCAAGAUGUGACCACACCUAGACCUUGCCUUGCCAAUAGGGCCUGAGUGACCUUAAACUUUUCAAGAACUUGUGGGUUAGGGAGAAUAAUUUGAAGAGGUGAAGAAGUAUGAUAUCCAUGGGACAUCAUCUUCAUUAGGAAACCUUGUUUCAAGAGAUUUGGGAAGAUCAUAGGUGUCUAAACCAGACAUCUUUUGGGAGAUAUUCAAGAUAGUUGAUUUAAAGUCCUUAAUAUGACACCCAAUAUGAAAUAUUAAGGCUAGGACCCAACAAACUAUUUUAUAACUUAGAAGAGGUAUGCCGUAAUCCAAGCUAUAAAAUAUUUGAAGGUAGGUGAAUGACGAUUCACCAAUUUCCACCAAGAUAAACGAAAUGUAUUAUUAGGUUUUAAUUGGUUUUGAAACUCCUAGAUCUUUGAGAUUCAUUGAACUUUUCAAAGGCAUGUUUCAAUCUCGAGUGUGCCCUUCAGGUUUUGUGACUGGGAUGCCGAGGAUCACAAAACAAGGUGUGAAGUAACCAUGCAAAUCACUUGGUACCCUUAAUAAAUUACCCCUCAAUCGAUGUGCCGGUUAACCACACACGCUCCAUCGAUACUAUGAUAAAUAUUAAGUCACCCUUUACCUACCUUGUUAAGUCCAAGUUAGUGUGCCGGUUAACCACACACGCUCCACUAACGACUUAGACAAAGUGUAAAGUGUAAUUUCAUGGAUUAGCACCUUAUUCACAUUUUUCCUAAGUAACUAAGAUUGGGUAUUAUUAAGAGUUUAGUUACUUAGUAUUAUCAUUAAUACUUUUAAUGAAGGGAGAAUUCUAGUCCUGUCAAACCCGUUCGGCUAACGACCCUCCACCAGUCAAGCAAGCGGUGGGUGAGAGUGGACACCCAUUAAGUUGCCAUUUUAUAGGCAACAACCUUAUACCCACCUUAUAGACCGGCUUCGUGAAUGAGGCGUACUAGCGGUAAGACUGACUUUACUCUUAUACAUAUAUAUAUUAUUAACUUAUAAUAUUAUAAAGUAUAAGGGUUGAAUUUUAACUUUUAAAAUUCUAAGGGCUAACUUGGAAUUAAAGUAUUCAUAAGUGAAAACUUUACAAAUUCCAAAACUUGAGGGCAAGUUUUGAAACUAUUCAAAACUAAUUAAUUCCAUAACUUAUGUGUUUAAAGUAGUUUUAAUCCAAAAACUCUUCAAGUUCCAUAACUUGAGGACAAGUUAUGGAAGACUUUAAACUAAUAAAAGAAUUAACUUUUCUUUAUUUUAUAACUUAUGGAAUUAAUUAAGGUUACACCUUUUUUUAUUUUAUUUUAUUUUAUUAAAUGAAGAGACUCUUGGUCCUCCAUAACUUGAGGACAAGUUAUGGAGUCAUAAAACCAUUUAAUUAGAACUAGACUCUUCAUUUUUGUAACCUUUGCCAAUUUUUAUGAGUUUUAUGAUUCUUAAAUGUGACUUUUCAUAUAACUUGAGGACAAGUUACAAAAACACAUUUUAGAAUCAAUUCUUAGAUUAAUUUGGAUUAAAACCAACUAUCACAUAAUUUUAUUCAUUAAUCUAAAUUCACUCAUAAAACAAGGUAACACAAAAAACUUUUGGUGAUCCAUAACUUAUUCUUAAGUUAUGGAAUCCUUUAAAACAUUAACACCAAAUUUUGUAACUCCAAAAAAACUUUGAAUCAAUUUUUUUUUUAAAACCUUUUCAUAUCCAUAACUUAUGGAGGUUUCAAAAAAUAAAACUCUUUAGAUCAAACUUUUAAAACUAAUAAAAUAAUCAUAUUAUUUUAUCUUUUAUUAAAUUUGACCUAAUUCAACUCAUAAAGCAAAUUAUUCAAAUUUUACAAAUAAUUAGUUUUUCACAAGAACAAGUAAUUAUCUUAAAAUUUGACGAACUUCAUGUUUUUUUUUUUUUUUUUUUUCAACUUUGAAAAUAAAAUAUUUGCAUCAAUAUAACAGAAAACAACCCGUGGCUCUGAUACCACUGUUGGGUUUUGAGCAUUCUAACACUUCCUAAGUGUACAUGCAACCCUAAAUACCUUGGAUCUAUGUUUUCUCUAUUAUACAUGCAAAUAAGAACAUCCAAGGUAUUAUCCUAAUCUAGCAUACAAAAACUAUGAAUGUAACAAGAUAGAAUACAUACCUCUUGAUGUAGCUUGAUGUCUUCAAGCUUUAAGAGCUUAGCCCCAAUAGUGUGGAAGCCUCAAGUGGAAUCACAAAUCACCAAGACACCUUGGAAUACUUUAGAGAAUAUGAUUACUUGGUUCUCUCUAGUGAAAUUGGCUAGCCCUUCUUUAGUGUAUCCACACUAGUGCCAAUUUCACCAACCAAAGACAUCUUUAUAUAGUAUGGAGGAUUAGGGUUAAACCCUAAUACCCAUGACCUUUCAUUUCCUAGGAUCCAUGGGUU